UUCCCUGGCUCCAUGGUGGCCCCAUACAUUUGCGCUCCAUGAUCUGUAGACGAUCCCAUCUAUUGAUUUUGAUGCUUGGAUCUAGGAAGCGACCACUAGGUUUCUUGCAUUAAUUUCGUGUGGAGAUGGCGCGACACAACCCUGACGGUGAUCCUCUUCGCCGCAUUCUCACAUAUAUGCAUCGCCAUCUCUUUCCUUCCCUCUCCCGUCCAGUGGCGAAGCCAGCAUGGAAUCGAAGCCUGAGCACUCGGACCUCUGGUUACUGGCUAUUGCUGUCCCUGUACUUGCUGGUGUCUAUAUGGUGGUGUGGAUGCCUGUACCCGCGAGGCGAACACCACACAUGGGUGGAUGCGGAGCCCGGGCAUAUGCCCGGGCGUGCGAGGCAUUGACUCUGCCACUGCUCCCUUCAUAGAUCUGCUGAAUAGUCGUUGUCACGUUCUUGUUCUUGAGGGCCAUGUGCCAUGCGCGUGGUGGACUGAUGCAUGGAGAAGAGCGUUCUUGUUCUAGAGCCUAGCAACCAUGUGUGUACUUUUUUACUGUUGAAAUGAACUUCUUGUCAUACUUCUGUGGGGAAACAAAAUUGAAGCAUUCUUUUUCUGUAGAUGUUGGCAUCUAAUUUCCUUCCUACACAAUAAUGGUUUCUAUUUAUCAUCUAUUGCUUAUGAAAUAAAUUGAACCAAUAGUUGAUCUCUUAUUCUUGCUGGGAAUGGACAUCUUUCUUUCUUUUUUAAAUAAUCGGAGAUAGUAGUAAUGUUGACAUUGCUCCAUUUCAUUUAUGAUGAAUAUGGACAUCCUUUAUGGCAGUGCCUGCUUGCAUUAGUAGCCAACAAUCAUUUUGUUUUAGUUGUACAUAUACAUGCACUUUCAUGCCCCCAACUGUUUGCAUGUCACUUUGACAAAGUUAUUUAUAUUAUGUGGAUAAGAGCUUUUGCAUUCUAGAACCAUGCCAACCGAUGUCCACUGGUGUCAUCACAGGUUCUAAAACCGUGCUAGAAUUUGCAUUUUAAAGCAGUUGCUACACUGAUGACUAGUAUAUUUCCCCUCAUUUUCUUGAGUAUUUUAUCUUUAUUUAGGAAAAGGUGAAGGUAAAAACAGCUAGCUUUUGUUGCAAGCAUGUUCACAUGAAGCCCUUUUAUAUAGAUAAAUUAAUGUUCAUUCCGUUUCAUAAUUUCUUAGAGGAAAAGGUGAAGGUAAAAACAGCUAGCUUUUGUUGCAAUCAUAUUCACAUGAAGCCCUUUUAUAUAGAUAAAUUAAUGUUCAUUCCGGUUCAUAAUUUCUUAGAGGUAUGCACGACCUGCUGAAUUUGGCCUAACAAAUGGCUGAAUUCUCACCUUUUACGUUUUGUUUACACUUGUGUCCUACAACCUCAUUUUAUAGAUAAUCUGAUAAUAUAUAGGUGGAGUACCUUCCUGUUUUCUACCCUCUUGAGAUCAAGCAAGAGAAUGCCCUUCAUUAUGGGAGGACAUAUUUGUUGGUAAGGGACAUAACACUUCACAUGCCCAUAUGACUUUAGAAGCUCAUGGAUCCUUUUAGUGUCUCCUGAAAUUGAGGUAUAUGAAGGGAUGAUAGUUUGAUGCCAUCCACGUGACAGUGACCUUGAGGCCAUUGACACCAAUAUAGAUCAUGUUGAGCCUGAGCACAAAGACCUUCUGAGAGUCCAUGAAGUGGGAGGUGGCUCUACAAUGUGUUGCAUCCACUCAGUUGGAUCUAAUCUUACUCGUACUAGGGAGCUACUAGAGUUGUAGUAGAAUGUGUUCAUGCAGAGCGGGCAAGAAGCUUUCACAGUGGGUAAGGAUUCAAACAGGACUCCAACAAGUGUGCAUGAGCUGGUUGUACCUAUUUGUUCCCUGGAAACUGGAGUGCUUGGAAAGAGAAUCAAAAGGUCUCUAACUGGUGGGCAUGAGAUGCAGUCUACCCAGGACAAGUGAUCAGGGAGGCUAGCAUGGUAAACUUGACAUUUCUCCUCAUAAAUUAUCAUAAGUCGCACAUAACUCAAUCCUACAAAAUAAAUAUGUUCAUCUUAUAACUAACAUCACCGCUGCAUGACAGCAUGAAUGGUGAGCUGUAAUUUUCCAUGAAAAUGCUGCAGGUGAAGGAAGCAAUACUCCAACAUGUCAAGUUACAAAACCUUCAAGUUCAGUGAGAUGGGGUGACAGGAGUAGCUAACCACAGUUGAGGCGACAAAAAUACAUAUCCAAGUUUAGGUCCUUGUGCAGAUAGACAGAUAAACAAGUAUGACAGUCACUUCAGAAGUAGCUUCCACUCCCUAUGUUUUGCAAGGUAGAGAGCUCCACGAUGUAGAUUCCAGACCCAAUGUUGCGCAAGGUAGUAAAAGUUGUACACAUCUGUUAGCCUGUUGCUGUUGUUGAUCUGGUGAUGAACAUUCUCUUCUACAAAAUCAAAAGAUGUUUUAUUUACAUAGAAAUUGGACAUAUGAAGCUUCUGUUGAGUGCAUGAUAAUUCAAUAUAUUAUGGGUUAUAUUCCA